CUGGCAGGGAAAGGAGGGGACCUGCGGAGUGAGAUACGAGGAGGAGGACAGAAGGACAGGGUGCCUAGCCACCGCACACGAAGCAUUGCAGGGAGAGCAAAGAGGCAAAGAGAAGGGGAGGGGGGGGAAAGGAAGCUGCCAGGCAGAGCACCAGGAUCACACCAGGCCAGAAACAGAUCACCAUGGCCCUGAGGGAUGUCUCUUAUCUCUUAUUCUUAGUGUGAUUAAGAUGGAUGGCUGAAUCAAGCAGUUGGACCCUUGCAAAGCAAUGCCAAGAAAUGCAGCUUAUUUUCAUCUUACUUUCAGAAGAGAAGUCAGCCUGAAGAAAUUUCAGCUUUUGACAAGUACUAACCAAAAGUUGAAAGGAUGUCAAAAUAUUAUCCAGAUGUUUGUACUAAUGUUGAAGACAUUAAUUAAUGCCAGUGCCUAGCUGGAACCUUUAUGUUCUUCAGUGUUGAUGAAGGGGCAGAUGAUGAAGAGACACUUUCAACAAAGAAAUUCUCGCAGGAUGCUGACAGAGUUUGAAGACAAGGACGAUCUGAUUGUGUGGCUCCUCAAUUUUAUGAUUUCAUGCAUUAAUUGAAAGGUAUCUUAUAGGAAAUGUAGUCAUUCUUGAAUGAUGAGUGAACCUUAGGAGUCUUCAGGAGUAUAGUAUUGGGAAAUUAUCUACAUCACAACUUAAAUUCUAGUUCUUGCAAUUUCUUACAAAUUGUGGAAUUAACUACUUAUGUCUGUCCAAAUGUAGCAGUGAAAGUAAUGUUUCUUUGUGCAUGCAGGUAUGGGCAGACUGAAGAAACUUAUUAAAAGUUACCUUAAGCUGAGCUCUAAAUUGCAGUUACUUUCAAUCAUAAAAUAAAAAACAUAUUAAUUGACUAAAACUCAUUAAAAGGUAUCAAAGUUGCUUAGUACCCUUUUAAAUAGUAAAUUUUAUAUUAUUCUAAUUGAAUUAUAUAUGUGUGUGUAGCAGAAAUGUUUGGCUGAGAGGCAAAAAGGCAUGAUACGUUAAACCCCAACGAGUUGGUUGCUUUCCUUAUUAGAAUGAAUGGGGAUGAAAAGCAUGUGGGGGCCAGAAAAAGAGCUGUGAUUAUUGUUUGCAUCGAGGAGGAUCAGCUUGGCCACAAUGGAAAGUGCUUCCUGCAUUUACAAUAUUGCUUUAAUCUUCUGUGCUGUUUUCUUCAUAUUUCCCUAAUACAAUCCUUAAAAUUA